UGUUAUCAUAUGUGAGCUAUUUGUUUGUCUUACUAUAUCAUUCCUCUCACAUAUAACUUGAGUGAAAUAUAUGCUUAUACAUCAAGUCAGAAAAUCAUGAGUGAAAAGAAAUUGAGAGCAUCUUUGUGAGAAAUUGAGUUGACGCUUGUUUGACCCAUGAAUAAGUUGGUUCUCCUUUGUUGCACUAGUUUGAUUGUUCAUGUAUUAUAACUUUAGCACUAUGGUUAUCAAAAUAAAUUAGCUUUUAAGUGAGGUUGUGAAUUCUGACAUGUGAUUGCGUGAAUUUUGUUGACCAUACUUGUGGGCAUUAUAAGUUCUCUGAGAUGUUUGGAAGACAUUAGGUCCGUGUCUUUUGUUCUAGUUAGUUCUUUGUUUGCUAGGGACUAGCAAAGCUUAAGUGUGGGGGUAUUUGAUCGGAGCAUAAUUAUGCGAUAAUAAUGUUGAUUUGCCAAAGCAAGGAAAGAAAUAUGAGCAAAAGGAAGGAGAUAUGUGCAAAUAAUGGAGAAGUGUGGAAUCUUGAUGAGUCAAGGAAGCAUACGGCAACAUGAAGAAAAAGAUAUUCAGCAAUUAAUUCUCUUGGCUGCUCUUAUUGGAUAGAAGGAUGUCAAUGAAUCCAAAAUCAAUCAGAACAUUAAUAAAGGAGCCUUCCGUGGAAGCCAAGGAAUUAGAGUCCCAAAAGGAAAGAAGAAAAGAGUUACAAACUGAAUAAAAUCUCUCCUUGGACGUUCAAGAAACCUACCAUCACACAUACGGAAGAGGAGAGACGCACAAGAGCUGAAGAAGAAGAAGGAUUGCAACCAUCACCGAAAACGAUCGAUCGCUGCCUGCCGACGAUCGAUCGCCGAUCAGCUUUUUCCUAUUUCUUGGUUUUUGUUGUCUUCUUUCUCCAUGAACUCAACUGUGUUUUUGAUUUCCAUUAUGUGUAACUAAAUUUCCAGUAGCUAGGGGGCAGUUGAAGCCCUAGACAUGAUCCACAACAUGCUUUGACAUUCAAUUUGUUUUCCAAUUAAUAAAGUUGAGGUUUAGUUUACCGAUUUCU